rnacentral:rRNA from 1 species
GAGUUUGAACCUGGCUCAGGACGAACGCUGGCGGCGCGCCUAACACAUGCAAGUCGAACGGAGAUAUUUUGUUUGAAGUUUUCGGAUGGACGACGGGAUAUCUUAGUGGCGAACGGGUGAGUAACACGUGAGUAACCUGCCUUUCAGAGGGGGACAACAUUUGGAAACGAAUGCUAAUACCGCAUAAGACCACGGUACCGCAUGGUAGAGAGGUCAAAGGAGAAAUCCGCUGAAAGAUGGGCUCGCGUCCGAUUAGGUAGUUGGUGAGGUAACGGCCCACCAAGCCGACGAUCGGUAGCCGGACUGAGAGGUUGAACGGCCACAUUGGGACUGAGACACGGCCCAGACUCCUACGGGAGGCAGCAGUGGGGGAUAUUGCACAAUGGGGGAAACCCUGAUGCAGCGACGCCGCGUGGAGGAAGAAAGUCUUCGGAUUGUAAACUCCUGUCCGAGGGGACGAUAAUGACGGUACCCUUGGAGGAAGCACCGGCUAACUACGUGCCAGCAGCCGCGGUAAAACG